rnacentral:rRNA from 1 species
GUGGGGAAUCUUGCGCAAUGGGCGAAAGCCUGACGCAGCCAUGCCGCGUGAAUGAUGAAGGUCUUAGGAUUGUAAAAUUCUUUCACCGGGGACGAUAAUGACGGUACCCGGAGAAGAAGCUCCGGCUAACUUCGUGCCAGCAGCCGCGGUAAUACGAAGGGGGCUAGCGUUGCUCGGAAUUACUGGGCGUAAAGGGCGCGUAGGCGGACAGCUUAGUCAGAGGUGAAAGCCCAGUGCUCAACCUUGGAAUUGCCUUUGAUACUGGCUGUCUUGAGUUUGGGAGAGGUGAGUGGAACUCCGAGUGUAGAGGUGAAAUUCGUAGAUAUUCGGAAGAACACCAGUGGCGAAGGCGACUCACUGGCCCAAUACUGACGCUGAGGCGCGAAAGCGUGGGGAGCAAACAGGAUUAGAUACCCUGGUAGUCC